GAUGAAGAACGUAGCGAAAUGCGAUAAGUAAUGUGAAUUGCAGAAUUCCGUGAAUCAUCGAAUCUUUGAACGCACAUUGCGCCCCCUGGCAUUCCGGGGGGCAUGCCUGUCCGAGCGUCAUUUCUGCCCUCAAGCACGGCUUGUGUGUUGGGUGUGGUCCCCCCGGGGACCUGCCCGAAAGGCAGCGGCGACGUCCGUCUGGUCCUCGAGCGUAUGGGGCUCUGUCACUCGCUCGGGAAGGACCUGCGGGGGUUGGUCACCACCAUGUUUUACCACGGUUGACCUCGGAUCAGGUAGGAGUUACCCGCUGAACUUAAGCAUAUCAAUAAGCGGAGG
rnacentral:misc_RNA from 1 species